rnacentral:rRNA from 1 species
CCCUUAGAUGUUCUGGGCCGCACGCGCGCUACACUGACGGAGGCAGCGAGCGUGUCCUUCGCCGGCAGGUGCGGGCAAUCUUGCGAGUCUCCGUCGUGCUGGGGAUAGAUGGUUGCAAUUGUCGAUCUUGAACGAGGAAUUCCUAGUAAGCGCGAGUCUUCAGCUCGCGCUGAUUACGUCCCUGCCCUUUGUACACACCGCCCGUCGCUACUACAGAGUGCCCGUGUCCAAGAAACGGUCGGACCUGUGCGGCCUCUCCGGGCGACCGGAGGGCCGUUACGGGGAAGACCCUUUAUUUGACGCGGGUCGAUGAAGUAAAAGUCGUAACA